UACCUGGUUGAUCCUGCCAGUAAUAUAUGCUUGUCUCAAAGAUUAAGCCAUGCAAAUCUUAGUGCACACGUCCGAUACAGUGAAACUGCGAAUGGCUCAUUAAAUCAGUUAUGGUUUCUUUGAUCUCGCCACCCGGUUACUUGGAUAACUGUGACAUUUCCAGUGCUAAUACAUGCCAACAAGUGCCGACCUGGUCUGCCCUUCUCCCCCCAGGGCGGGGGGCGUCUCUCCGUGGACGCGUGCAUUUAUCAGAUGCAAAACCCAUGCGGGUUCGCGGGCGAUGAAAAGGGGAGCUCGCGCCUCCUCGCUGCCAUCCGCCCCCGGCCUCGCAUAGAUGACUCUAGAUAACCUCGUGUCGAUUGGGCACCCCCGCAGCGGCGACGAUUCCUUCGAAUGUCUGCCCUAUCAACUUUCGAUGGUAGGUCUGUCGCCUACCAUGGUGACCACAGGUGAAGAGGAGCUUGAGAAACGGCUACCACAUGCAAGGAAGGCAGCAGGUGCGCAAAUGACCCAUUUCUGACACAGAGAGGUAGUGUCAAAAAAAACAACAAUGCAGGUCUCUUUCAAGGCCCUCCAAUUGGAAUGAGUGCAUCCCAAACCCAUGGGCGAGGACCCAUUGGAGGGCAAGUCUGGUGCCAGCCAUGGUUAUUCCAGCUCUAAUAGCAUAUGCUAACGUUGCUGCAGUUAAAAAGCUCGAAGUUGGAUCUCGGGGACCAGGCUGUGCGGUCUGCCAUGAGGGGAGCCACCGCCCGUCCUUAACCCCCAGGUCUCCCAGUGCCCCCCCGAAUACCCUUGACUGGGUGUCCUUGGCUUGGGGCCCGGAGCGUUUACUUUGAAAAGAGUGUUCAAGGCAGGGCUGGCCCUGCACCCUACUGAAUAAUACAGCUAGGAAUAACGGAAUAGGACCCUGGUUCUACUUUGUGGAUUUCAGGAACCUGGGGCCAUGAUCGAGAGGGAUGGCCGGGGGCAUUAUUGCGCCACUAGAGGUGGAAAAGCAUUUGCCGAGAACGUUUUCAUUAUUCAAGAAUGAAAGUCGGUGGUUUGAGGAUGAUCAGAAACAUUCGUAGUUCCGAUCGUAAAUGAUGCAGGAGGAAACCCAUGCCAACAUGGGGAGAACAUGCAAACUCCACACAAAAAUGGCAACUGACCCAGCCAGGACUUGAACCAGUGUCCUUCUUGGUGUGAGGUAUCAGUG
rfam:Danio rerio chromosome 14, GRCz11 reference primary assembly.